CCUACGGGAGGCAGCAGUGGGGAAUUUUCCGCAAUGGGCGAAAGCCUGACGGAGCAAUACCGCGUGAGGGAAGACUGCCUAUGGGUUGUAAACCUCUUUUUUCAGGGAGGAAUCAAUGACGUGUACCUGAAGAAUAAGCAUCGGCUAACUCCGUGCCAGCAGCCGCGGUAAGACGGAGGAUGCAAGUGUUAUCCGGAAUCACUGGGCGUAAAGCGUCUGUAGGUGGUUUAAUAAGUCAACUGUUAAAUCUUGAGGCUCAACUUCAAAAUCGCAGUCGAAACUAUUAGACUAGAGUAUAGUAGAGGUAAAGGGAAUUUCCAGUGGAGCGGUGAAAUGCGUAGAUAUUGGAAAGAACACCGAUGGCGAAAGCACUUUACUGGGCUAUUACUAACACUCAGAGACGAAAGCUAGGGUAGCAAAUGGGAUUAGAUACCCCAGUAGUCCUAGCCGUAAACAAUGGAUACUAGAUGUUGAACAGAUCGACCUGUGCAGUAUCAAAGCUAACGCGUUAAGUAUCCCGCCUGGGAAGUAUGCUCGCAAGAGUGAAACUCAAAGGAAUUGACGG
rnacentral:rRNA from 1 species